rnacentral:tRNA from 1 species
UCCCUGAUGAUCCAGUGGUUAAGAAUCUGUACUUCCAUCACAGGGGACAUGGGUUCAAUUCCUGGUCAGGGAA